AUAUUGGUCAAUGGUCGGGAGACUGAACCAGCCAAGCCGCGUGAGGGAGGAAGGUACAGAGUAUCGUAAACCUCUUUUGUCAGGGAACAAAGGCGGGGACGUGUCCCCGGAUGAGUGUACCUGAAGAAAAAGCAUCGGCUAACUCCGUGCCAGCAGCCGCGGUAAUACGGAGGAUGCGAGCGUUAUCCGGAUUUAUUGGGUUUAAAGGGUGCGCAGGCGGUCUGUUAAGUCAGCGGUCAAAGCCCGGGGCUCAACCCCGGCCCGCCGUUGAAACUGGCAGUCUCGAGUUGGAGAGAAGUAUGCGGAAUGCGCGGUGUAGCGGUGAAAUGCAUAGAUAUCGCGCAGAACCCCGAUUGCGAAGGCAGCGUGCCGUGCCGCCACUGACGCUGAGGCACGAAAGCGCGGGGAUCGAACAGG
rnacentral:rRNA from 1 species